GACGAACGCUGGCGGCGUGCCUAAUACGUGUAAGUCGAACGAACUCUGGUAUUGAUUGGUGCUUGCAUCAUGAUUUACAUUUGAGUGAGUGGCGAACUGGUGAGUAACACGUGGGAAACCUGCCCAGAAGCGGGGGAUAACACCUGGAAACAGAUGCUAAUACCGCAUAACAACUUGGACCGCAUGGUCCGAGUUUGAAAGAUGGCUUCGGCUAUCACUUUUGGAUGGUCCCGCGGCGUAUUAGCUAGAUGGUGGGGUAACGGCUCACCAUGGCAAUGAUACGUAGCCGACCUGAGAGGGUAAUCGGCCACAUUGGGACUGAGACACGGCCCAAACUCCUACGGGAGGCAGCAGUAGGGAAUCUUCCACAAUGGACGAAAGUCUGAUGGAGCAACGCCGCGUGAGUGAAGAAGGGUUUCGGCUCGUAAAACUCUGUUGUUAAAGAAGAACAUAUCUGAGAGUAACUGUUCAGGUAUUGACGGUAUUUAACCAGAAAGCCACGGCUAACUACGUGCCAGCAGCCGCGGUAAUACGUAGGUGGCAAGCGUUGUCCGGAUUUAUUGGGCGUAAAGCGAGCGCAGGCGGUUUUUUAAGUCUGAUGUGAAAGCCUUCGGCUCAACCGAAGAAGUGCAUCGGAAACUGGGAAACUUGAGUGCAGAAGAGGACAGUGGAACUCCAUGUGUAGCGGUGAAAUGCGUAGAUAUAUGGAAGAACACCAGUGGCGAAGGCGGCUGUCUGGUCUGUAACUGACGCUGAGGCUCGAAAGUAUGGGUAGCAAACAGGAUUAGAUACCCUGGUAGUCCAUACCGUAAACGAUGAAUGCUAAGUGUUGGAGGGUUUCCGCCCUUCAGUGCUGCAGCUAACGCAUUAAGCAUUCCGCCUGGGGAGUACGGCCGCAAGGCUGAAACUCAAAGGAAUUGACGGGGGCCCGCACAAGCGGUGGAGCAUGUGGUUUAAUUCGAAGCUACGCGAAGAACCUUACCAGGUCUUGACAUACUAUGCAAAUCUAAGAGAUUAGACGUUCCCUUCGGGGACAGGGAUACAGGUGGUGCAUGGUUGUCGUCAGCUCGUGUCGUGAGAUGUUGGGUUAAGUCCCGCAACGAGCGCAACCCUUAUUAUCAGUUGCCAGCAUUAAGUUGGGCACUCUGGUGAGACUGCCGGUGACAAACCGGAGGAAGGUGGGGAUGACGUCAAAUCAUCAUGCCCCUUAUGACCUGGGCUACACACGUGCUACAAUGGAUGGUACAACGAGUUGCGAACUCGCGAGAGUAAGCUAAUCUCUUAAAGCCAUUCUCAGUUCGGAUUGUAGGCUGCAACUCGCCUACAUGAAGUCGGAAUCGCUAGUAAUCGCGGAUCAGCAUGCCGCGGUGAAUACGUUCCCGGGCCUUGUACACACCGCCCGUCACACCAUGAGAGUUUGUAACACCCAAAGUCGGUGGGGUAACCUUUUAGGAACCAGCCGCCUAAGGUGGGACAGAUGAUUAGGGUG
rnacentral:rRNA from 1 species